UACGUAGGGUGCAAGCGUUAAUCGGAAUUACUGGGCGUAAAGCGUGCGCAGGCGGCUUUGCAAGACAGAUGUGAAAUCCCCGGGCUCAACCUGGGAACUGCAUUUGUGACUGCAUGGCUAGAGUACGGUAGAGGGGGAUGGAAUUCCGCGUGUAGCAGUGAAAUGCGUAGAUAUGCGGAGGAACACCGAUGGCGAAGGCAAUCCCCUGGACCUGUACUGACGCUCAUGCACGAAAGCGUGGGGGAGCAAACA
rnacentral:rRNA from 1 species